UACGGGGGGGGCAAGCGUUGUUCGGAAUUACUGGGCGUAAAGGGUUCGUAGGUGGCCAACUAAGUCAGACGUGAAAUCCCUCAGCUUAACUGGGGAACUGCGUCUGAUACUGGUUGGCUUGAGUGCAGGAGAGGAACGCGGAAUUCCAGGUGUAGCGGUGAAAUGCGUAGAUAUCUGGAGGAACACCGGUGGCGAAGGCGGCGUUCUGGACUGCAACUGACACUGAUGAACGAAAGCCAGGGGGAGCAAACGGG
rnacentral:rRNA from 1 species